CACCAGGUUGAUUCUGCCUGACGUGGAUGCUAGUUCCUGAGGUUAAGCCAUGCAUGUUUAUGAAGCGACUCGGUUGCGGAUUGAUGGACGGCUCAGUAAGACUGCGAUGAUUUGAUCGGGGAGCAAGCUGUAGCCACGGGAAACUGCUGGGUAAGGCUGCUGUUGCAUGGCCUUGGCCGAUGCUCCCGAGUAAGUUGCAGACCUAUCAACUGGUAGUUAGGGUAAUGGCCUAACUAGGUGGCGACGGGAGACGGGGGAUUAGGGUUUGAUUCCGGAGAGGGAGCCUGAGAGAUGGCUACUACGUCUAAGGAUGGCAGCAGGCGCGAAACUUGCCUAAUCCUUGUUUGGGAGGCAGUGAUGGGACGUAUUUUUGUGUGGCGGAUUGUAAAGAGAUGCGCCGAGAUCGGAGGGCAAGUCGGGUGCCAGCAGCCGCGGUAAUACCUGCUCCGAUAGUGUCUAUGGUGAAUGCUGCAGUUAAAAAGUCCGUAGUUGUGAUGUGUGGUGUAUGUUUUGUGAUGCCUGUGUUUGUAGUGGGCUAUGGAUGUAUACACAGUGUGGCGCAACGGAAGAGGUGCACCGGAUAGUUGGGCGAGAGGUGAAAUGUGAUGACCCCGACUGGACGGACAGAAGCGAAAGCGGUGUGCUUUGACGGGUGUGUGGAUCAAGGACGAAGGCUGGAGGAUCGAAAUCGAUUAGAUACCGUUUUAGUUCCAGCAGUAAACGAUGCCGACUGGAUGAUGCGCUGUGCAUUGUGCGAGAGAAAUUGGUGAGUAUGUGGGCUUUGGGGAUAGUAUGUUCGCAAGGAUGAAACUUAAAGAGAUU
rnacentral:rRNA from 1 species